UAAUAAUAAUAACGAUGAUGAUGAUGACGAUGAUGAUGAUGAUGACCAUCAUCAUCAUCAUCAUCAUCAUCAUCAUCACCAUCAUCAUCACGG
rnacentral:pre_miRNA from 1 species